ACUCUCAUGGUUGCACAAGUACCAAAGUUCAUAAAUUCAGUUUAAAUUGCUGAUGUGACCUUCAAAAUACAGGCCACUUGUGUACCUUGCAUUUCACUGGUAUAAGCUAAGCAAUGUAUAACUAUACUCAGCUCUUUUAGUUAAGAGAUUAUUGGUUGGCAGUAGCUGUCUGAGUUAUUUUCUAACAGCAAUUAUAUUACUGACAGCAGGAAAUUGUCAACAGUGACUCACCUCUCUAGAGGAAAUUUACUUUUUAAUACAAAUGUCUUUGGGUGGUUUAAUUCAGCUCUGAAUGAUUCAACUUUGUUCUUUGUUGUCCUGGUUUUACUAAAGAAUCCUACAAAAAAGUUAGGUGCUACAGCUAGGAUGAUGACAUGCUACAGCUAAAUGAGAAAAAGGAAUAAUUAAGGAUCUACCAGAUAUUUGUACAUAAGAUACCAGGCCACAAGAGCAUGGGAAUCCUUAUAAACCAAUAUGUUUAUAAAAUUUUAGGCCCUGCUUAUCCGCAAGUUAAGAAAGUUUGUAAUCUAUUAGGAAUGUUGUUGGCUAUUUUAACAUUCAGUCAGUAACCACAGCUGGGAGUAACAUUUUCCCAUGCCAGAUUUGUGAGCUGCACGUGUUGUCUUCCCAUGACUGGUUCAGUGAAGUUUUUUGCAGCAGAGGAACCCCCCCGAGUUGUGCUUAUGUAACUGAUCUGCUCAAUUCAUGUCUUUCCAGCUCUGUACUGAAGGACACCCAUGCAUGUAUUUAGUCUUAGUGCUGCUCUCCGAGCACCCAGCGCUCCACUGAGGCAUAUCCCCUGAAAGCUGUCCAGAUUUUCCCAAAAUACAGUGAUACACACACCCAGGAAGUACGUAUAGCAAGAGUAGCUGCACCGUCAUGGCUGACCUACAGUUGUGUUGUGAAAGAAUCUACUGUGUGGGCGCAAUUCAACCGAGUAGUUGAAUCAGCUGUAACACUGAGGGGAAAAAAAGUAUUGAUCUUUCAUAUCAGUGUGCUGCAAGAGUGAUGAACAAAACUGCUGUGGUUCCUGCAAUGAGGUUGGAUACUUCACUGGCUUGGGCCUCACAAAGAACUACAGAACGAAAGAAGAUGGAAAUGAACCCAUGAUCCUUUCACCUCUGAGGGAGCAGAGAAAAAGAUGGGGGGUCAGUAUCUCAUCUCCCACUGAGUCUUUGUUUCCUGGAGUGCCAUUCCCAAACAAUGUUAGCAUUUGAAUAGUCUCAAGUCUUUGAAAUCAAUUUCUUAAAGAUAGAGCUUACCUUAUGGCCACAACUGUUAUCUGGCUACUCCUGGCUGUCUGUAGUGUUGAGAUAAAGGUGGUAUGCCAGGAAAAAUAAAAACACUGGAAAUGUG